UGAGGAAUAUUGGUCAAUGGACGCAAGUCUGAACCAGCCAAGUAGCGUGCAGGAUGACGGCCCUAUGGGUUGUAAACUGCUUUUAUAUGGGGAUAAAGUGGGGAACGUGUUCCCUUUUGCAGGUACCAUAUGAAUAAGGACCGGCUAAUUCCGUGCCAGCAGCCGCGGUAAUACGGAAGGUUCGGGCGUUAUCCGGAUUUAUUGGGUUUAAAGGGAGCGUAGGCCGUUUGGUAAGCGUGUUGAGAAAUGUAGGAGCUCAACUUCUAGAUUGCAGCGCGAACUGUCAGACUUGAGUGCGCACAACGUAGGCGGAAUUCAUGGUGUAGCAGUGAAAUGCUUAGAUAUCAUGAAGAACUCCGAUUGCGAAGGCAGCUUACGGGAGCGCAACUGACGCUGAAGCUCGAAGGUGCGGGUAUCGAACAGG
rnacentral:rRNA from 1 species